ensembl:lncRNA
UGGUGGGGGGGGAGGCGGGAGGCUGGGGUGGGGGCUGGAUGUGGAGUCCUCCGAGGUCAGGAGGCUGGGCUCCUCCUGUUUGUCCAUAUGCAUUUCUGGCCCCUUCCCCUCCAGCCCUGAGGGAAGCCAUCCCGCAGAGAGGCAGUUCCAGGUGCAGGUGGGCCACCUCCUCGCCCUGCACGUCCUGUCCCCGGGCUGCUGCUCUGCAUGCUGCUGCUGGGGGCUGCCCUCUCCCUGGCCCACCCUGCCGAGGGGCUCGCUGCCAGGCUCUGGGGAGGCAGGAUCUGGUGCCACAGCUGCCGGGCGUCAAGGGCAGCGGGCUGUCCUGGUAAGCAAGGGCUGACAAAGGGCCUUGCAGCAGCAGCACCAGAGGUUGGUGAGGACGAGGUCGGGACCAGAAUGAACGCUCCUCAUGCAUUCAUUUAUCAGAGUCACUGAGUCCCCUUGGCCUGCCCCAGGGCCAGCGCUGGUUGCUGGGGACAGAGAUGUGGACCAGCCCACCUGGGUCCCCUGCCUCCAGGGGGGCAAGCGGGGUAACUAAGACAUGCAUGUGCAAAUCCACAAAAGUGUCACCUCCUCCGAGAAGCCCUCCCUGACCCCCUUCCCUCCUCCCUGACUGAGGUGGCUGUUGCCCCAGUGAAGAGGGAAUCAGACUGCCCAGGUUCAAGCUCUGGCUCCGCCUCUUGCUGGCCAUAGGCCCAGGCGAGUCACUCCACCACCGAGCCCCAGUUUCCUCGUCUGUAACAGAGGGGUAACAAGAUUACAUAUGUCGUAGACUUAUUGUGAGCGUUAAAGGAAAUCCACAGGAUGGCUCCUGGGAGGGAGGAAUACUUUCAGCAGCCACAGACCGGCUUUCAGGAGAGGCACAGUGAGCAGGAACGGCUGGCCCGCAUUCUGGAAGAAAAGGUGGAGCUGGAAACAGAAGCCCCCAGGCUCACCCAGUGGGCAGGGAGCAGAUGUGAAGGACUAGGCCACCCAAGUCACCAGGACACGAUAAAUAGCUGCCCCCUCGUAAAGAGUAUAAAGAGUACCAGGUGACCCGAGACCUCUGGGGUAGAAUUUCUGGCAGGAUUCUGCCUCUAUAAAUAGCCUCGAGACAGGGCGGGCCUGCCCUGUUCCCCAGAGAGGCAGGCGGGCAGGAGCUGCAGGGGCGGUGGUUGCCACGCUGGACAAAGGCCCAGGAGGCUGGGGAGCAGGGGGCGUGCUCGCUGCGGGCCCCUGGGGACAUCUGAUCCAGGCUGGGGCUGUGUCUGCAUCUGGGUGACCUCAGGGCCAAGUGGCUGUCCGUGAGAAUUCCCAGGUGAGUUUGUUUCUUAAAAGCAUGAAUUAGAGCUGGGGACCAUAGGAGGCAAACGGAGGCAACUUAGAGGGUUCCCACCCUCUGCCAAGAACUUGGGAGCACAUAGGACAUACAAGAUAAGGGCCGUUCUUGGGAGGGCUUUUUUCCUCCCAAAUUAUUUCCCCAAAUAAUUCACUGGGGAAACAGGGGAGAAAGGGAGGCAGAUCAGCCCAGACUUUCCCAGUCUUCCUCCGGCCAAGACCCGGUGAGCAGACCCUCCCGGGACAGCGCCACCUUGUGUGUUUGCAGGUGGCUAGACGACAAGGGGCCCCUGCGCUUCCCUGGAGGGCUGGCCUGCGCCAUCGUUGGGGGCUCCCCCAGCCACUUGCCCUUCUCCUUCAGGAAUCUCAGGGCUUCCAGGGAUCCCUAACACAGCUCCUCCAGGUCCUGCAGGAUUCAGGUUAAAGGUCUUUGCUGAGAAGCCGCAGAGUGAACCUGAACUUUGCACCAUAUGGAGCGAGGAGGCUGCUGUUGGACUGUCUCCAGGGUCAUCAGAGAUGCCCGGGGUGACCACCUGGUCCAGGCAGGACCGCGGGGCCCAUCGAUAUUCAAGGCAUCGUCUUCCCUUUGUAAUUGGCGGGGGCCGCCUCACCCAGGAAGUUACACAUCCCCACAGUGGGACAGCCAGUGGUCAGCGACUGACCGACAAAGGAUACAAAAGAUCAGCUGCCAUGGCAAUUGUUCCAGGCUGAUGAUACUGUUCUGCAUCUUGACAGAAGGUCAGAGAGUGCGGCCUGGGGAAGUCCCAACCCCAUCAAAAUGACAACACCCUAAAUGAGUUCUAUGAAGGAGACUUAGCCAGCGGGGCUCAGACUGGACCCCGCCCUGGGGUGUUUAUUCAGCUAAAAAUAUGAAUUGGGCUCACAUAGCGCCUGCCUGGUUCACUUUGGGAGUGGCGUCCACCUGCAGCCUGACACUUCCCAGACCAGAGCCAGUGUCUGCACUCACCUGAGCUCGGUGGCCAGGCCAGCUGGGCAGAGCCACGCUCACCUGUACAUGUCGGGGGAAGAAGCAGCUGAUCUCAAGGCUGAUGUUCUGAAAGGAGAGGUGGUCUUGCAAGAAGAUGUGGAAGAAGUUGGUAGAUAGGAUUUGGGGGCAGAUGUCGUUCUCACCGUAGGAUGGGGACACGGUGGUGGUGGUCGCUGCCUUGUUCUCGGGCACGUUGUCUGUCAGCCCACUGUCCAUAGAGUGUGGGAGUAAGGAACCAGCCCAGGGAAAUUGGAGAUGGGCUUGUGUGCUCUGAAGGCCCUUGGAAGCCCUGGAUUGCUGCCCGCGGGCGUCACUAAGGGACAUCAAUAAGACACAUCAAUGACGUUGGAGGCAGACUGGGAUGCCAGGGUGAUUUUCCAGCUGGACACCCUGGUGAGGGAGGCGGCCAUCUCACUAGAGAGAGCGGCUUGUGAGUGUUGGCUGGGCCGUGUCGUUCAGGAUGUCUCUAAGGACCACACUGAUUUAAAGGAAGGGCGGGGUUCCCCAAAGCUUGUCCUCCGAGCAAAUCUCCCAAGGUCCACAAGGAUCCUAAAAAGAGAGCCUGGGGAGAGACGGGCCCAAAUGCUGCUCAGGGUUUCCAUGACGACUCACUUUCCUUUUUCAAAAUAUUUUAAUUGUCGAAGCCAUAGAAUCAGGAGGGAAACUUUCAAAAACUGAGGGUAAAUCAGCAACGACGUUGCACCUUUGCCCCUGACUUUAAAGCUCAGCCUGGCCUCAAAGCUUUGUGUCUGGGGGCAAGUGCCCUGCCUCAGUUUCCCCUCCUGUAAAAUUGGGAUGACAGCGCCCACUACUCAGGACUCUCACGAGGGUCGAAGAUCGCACGUGACACAGGAGCUGCAGGCAUGGUCUGCUCUCAGCUUUCGGGGUACACAGAGGAGCUGAGUCCAUGCCUCCUCCGUUGCCUGCUUCCCCCCCACUCAGCAGCACCCCCACAGCCCUGCCACUAUCUGGUCCUCACCAUUAUCAGUGUUGGUUGAAUUGUCGAUGCAUCUUCUGUGGUCUCUUUGCUAGUCAGCUUCUCCAUCAACCAACGGUCUAGCUGCUCUUAUGUCUCACACAUUUUGGAAAACACAGCACCCACUUUGUUAUGUGUACUUAGCCAUGUGUCUUGGAUAUUAUUCUGGGCUAUUUCUUACUUAUUUUCCAAGGGCUUGUAGGGGGGACCUAAUCACACAUCGGGGCCCGCCUGUCGCCCCGUGGUCUCAGAAUCACGUCCAUGGCGUAUUGUAGACGGAGAAGGAAGGGUGAGGAACAGCAGGAGAGCAGACGUGGAUGCAUGUACAUGCUCAUGCUUGGGCAGAGUCUCCACAUGGAUGCGAAGGCUCAGGCCCCAGCAGGUGUCCCCGGGACAGCUGGCAGCUGGGGCGCGGGGAGGGUGACCUCUUAAACGUUGCAGCCCUCUUUGCACGUUUCUUUUAUUUCUUUAACUCUAAGCCUGUGCUGCUGUUUCAGUUGAGAGCUCCUAGCUCCGGCCUCACAGCCGCCCUCUCCAUGCCGCCUCCUCCUGCUGAAGGGCUGGAGGGAAAAUGCUUCCACGGAGCCCUGCCCGGCAGAGCCAGUCCCUCAACCUCUCUGUAAAAUGGGGGAGGUUGCAACAAUAGUACCCAUGUCAGAGGGCUAAAUGGUGGAGGGAUUAAAUGAGAAAAUGCGUGGAAAGUGUUUUUCACAUGGAGGGCACUCAGUCUACGCAAGCUAUUUUUAUCUGACCUUAAAUUCCCCUUCUGUGAACGGAGCAUUUUGAAGCUCGAUGCCUCCAUAGGGACAUUUGGAGACAGAAAAGCAGGAGUGGAAGAGAAAGCCGAGCGCAGCGGAGGGAUGCUACAUAAAGACGACGGUGACCGUGGACAGAGGUUUCCCUCCUGUGCCAGGCAUAUCUGUCACCCGGAGCUUCUCACCUAGUUUUGCAAUAACCACAUGGGGUGUGGUGUCACGUCCACUUCACAGGUGAGGAAUCAAGCAUCUUGCCCAAGACCUGACAGGUAACAAGUGGCAGAGGUAGAACGCCCUGAGGCUGGCAACUUCCUUGCGCUACCAUAGAAAGAGGGUCCCUAUUUAUUUCCCCUGGAUGUCCCCAAACAAAGGCGUGACAUUCCAAGAGAGCCACUCCCCUCUUCUGGCCAAGAGCCAUGGCUGUGAACCACUGAGGAGUGGAAGGGAGUCCCUGGCACCAUCCUUUGCCCCCUCACAUGCCCACCUCUCCCUCCCCACCCCAUCCAGCAGGCCCCGGCCUUGCCCUGGGUCAGGCUCCUCCUCUUGCUGAGGGUCUCCCUGCUCAGAGCAUCGUGCCUGCCUCCCCAUCACCUCACAGCACAGUCUGGCCAAAGCAGAACAAGCUGGGGGCGGGGGGCCGUCUCUCCUCCCCGCACCUGCGGACUUGGAGGACGAGGCCCCAUCGUACUCGUUUUGUACAAUGGCAGCUCUCACUUCAACAGGCAAAGGGCGGUUUUGAGGAAUGUGUCCUGGUUCCGUAAGAGGUUGAGCUCAGGGGCGCUGUGUGAAGGGUCCGUGAAAACUCUCUACUGUCUUUGCCACUUUUAUUUAAAUCUGAAGUUAUUCAAAAUUAAAAGUUUAUGAAAAGAAAGAAAAAGGCAGAAUUCAGUGAAGACUGAAGAAGCCCAGGGAGCCGCAGCCCGUGGAGGACGGGCUCCAGCCACAUGGAUGCUGCCCGACCAGCUUUCCCAAGGCUCCGGAGUGGGAUGGAGCAGAGCGGCAGAGGAAGAGCCCAAGAAACGCAGUGUCCAACCCAGGCAGGGACUCCAGCCAGACCCACGGGGCGGAAAAUGGGAUAUUUGCUCGCUCACGAGACACGUUUGGACAGAACUUACUAUGAAAACUUUCACACAUGGGCCAAGUAGAGAGCUGGGUAUCAUGGGCCUCAUGCACCUGUGAGGCCCGCGUGUGUCCUGAGGGGGCUGCUUCUGGGAGCAGGUUAGGGGAAUGGGGGUCUGUUAAUAGAAGCAACACCACUUCACCCUUCUCAUUAGACCUUUUAAACCAUGGCGAGGAGGUGGGGCAGGAAAUCCCCUUGCUCUCGCCAGCCCCUUGCUGUGUGAGGUGGGGCACGCUGCUCUCUGGGUCUCACCUGCCUCAGCUGGAAAUGAGGGGCUUGACCUAGAUGCUUUCCAGACCCCAAAGACAUGUCCAAAGCUGAAUUCGUCACUUGCCCCUACACCUGCUGUGGCUCCCAGGUCCCCAUCUCAGCCAAUGGCACCGCUAUCCGCCCAGUUACUCAGACCAGGAACCUGGGUGUCAUUCAGACUGUUCCCCGCUUUUCACCCCUAGUCUCCUCAGUCACACAAAGAUUCUGCCCUUUCUCCCUCCUAAAUGUUUUCCACCGUGGCCAUCUUAAUCCCUGCCCCAUCCUUGUCAUCAUCAUCUCUUCUGCCUACUGCACUGGUCCCAGCCUCCCAUUGCAUCCUUAUUCUUCUUCCAUGCUGGAGCCAUGUCCAGUGGAGAUCACACUUACAUUAAGAUCUGGACCUUGAUGCCCAAACUUCCAUCUGCUCAGUGUGAAGGAAGGUCUAUUUCCCCAAAUGUUUCUGAGAUUCUCUGUGAGCAUUUACACCCCUGAAAGCCAGUCUCCUUGACAACUCUGUGAGGGACAAAUUUGACUAUGCACCUGCUGGUCUCGCUGGGUUGAGUGUUGUGGCUGCUAUGGGUGACCAAGUGGGGGUCCACACUGCCUGGACAGUAGCUCCCUUGGGGCGCCUCUGCUGUCUAUGUCCCCACUCUUGUCACUUCUGUCCUCAUGGAGCUCUGAUGGCUGAUCAGGCCCGCUGAAUAGCAAGAGCGAGCAUCUUCCUCUGCUCCCGGGGCCUCACAGCCAAGCUGCCUGGGCCCUGAGUGAUACGCCCCUUUAAUUCACCCCCUCCAUUCUCCAGGGCUGCCUGCCUGGAUGCCAGGUCCCCUCAGACGACUUGCUGGGGAGGACGUUUCCAGGGGCCUCCUUUACUCACCUACCAUGUGACCUCUAUUAGGGGUGCCUAUGUCUCUGUGGGCAACAAAACACGGAAUGCCAGGGCCCUCCCAGCCCUUUGGUCCAGCAGUGGUGGGGUGGGCAGGGCUGGCAGGGGCGAUGUCUUGCUCCUGGCUGGCAGCCCUGCGCUCAGGCUUCCACACAGACACCACAUGGAGGAAACGCGCCCAGCGGCGCCCGUGCCUGCCCUCCUCCCGCCUCUCACCACAGCUCCUCCAGAGACAGGAUGGGCAGCCGCAUCCCUGCGGGCAUGCACCCGGCCAGGGGCAGGGCACAGAGGCAGCGCCAGCGAGAACCUGUCCUUACCGGAUCUGCUUGCUUGCAGAUGCCAGGGUUCCUCUGUCAUGCUGGGCUGAACACCUGGGAGGUGGAUCUGCUCCUGACGCCCCAGGCGUGGGAUGGGCAAAGGCAGGCAUCACUCACAUCUGUGGGAGGGAGGCUGGGCUGGCCUCUGUUCCCAGUGUCCACACGGGCAGGCUGACCUUCACUCCCGGCUCCUUGUACCCAAGGGAAGCAGGCUGUUCCACCUCCUCCUGUGAAAAUGACCCAUCCAGGUAGCAGGUCAAGCAUUUAGUCCACAAACUUUCACGAAGCCCCAAUUCCUCCAGGCACAGGUGGAGGCAUGGGACCCACUCCAGUAAACAGCAGGCUUGUUACACCACUUCACCAAGCUUUUAUUUCAUUUUUAUAAGCUUUUAAAAUAGAGCGGGGAGAAAGGCAAACCAGUGGAGGACAACGAUGUUGAGAACGGCCUGCGGAUGGCGGCUGGGCAGCGCCGGGUCUGAAGGCCAGGCUUCCCAACUUGAACAAGCUGAGAAGCCAGUGGGGUCACAUCUGCUCCUUUGUGGCCCAUAUUAUUAAAGCAGGACGAGAUGGGAUGACCACACCAGGUAACACGGUCCAAGUCUCAGGUAGCAGCCAGACGUGCCGGAACUCUCUACCCUGUCCGGCACCUGUGCUCCACUCCUCCAACAGCAAGAGGACACAAGGCUUAAAGCAUCUCACAGCUCAGAAACCACUUCCCCCACUUUUGUCUUCUUCUUCUUUUUGGUGGUGUCCCUGAGCCCAUCUCUCAGCUCAUGCCCACUCUCUGGCACAGCCUAGGUCUUCUUAUUCUUGUUCUCGUUCUUCUUUUUUUUUUUUUUUU